UUGAGUGUGAGGGACUUGACCACUUCGUGUGUUUUUGCCAUUGCAUUAGUUGCAUCGGUUUGAGUUCUCCACGGUGAUACGUGGAAGUGAGAAGUUGAGAAGCUUACUACAUUUGGUACUUAGUACCCUUGAUAUUGUUCUUCGUGGAUGCUUUGGCGUCCUAGAAGCUUGGUGGUGUCUCGGAGCUCAAUCAUUGUGGUGUGAAGCUCCGGGAAGCGUCGGGGUCUCCAAUAAGGUUGUGGAGAUUGCCCCGAGCAAUUUGUACGGGUACCGGUAACCGCCCCCAAGGGUUGCCACGUGUACGGGUUCGGUGACCGCCCCCAAGGGUUGCCAUUUGUACGGGUUCGGUGACCGCCCCCAAGGGUUGCCAUUUGUACGGGUUCGGUGACCGCCCUCAAGGGUCCCUUAGUGGAAUCACGGCAUCUUCCAU
rnacentral:lncRNA from 1 species